CUCCUCUCUACAGAGACUCUGCUCGGGAAUAAACCCAGCCUCUCUUUAAUCUUUUACUGAUAGAAAGGCCACAGGUGCUGAAAAGGAAGUUAAACCCCGUGACAACUCGGACGACUUCCUCUGGGUGUGGGCGUGUGUACACAGGUUCUUCUUAUCUGACUUCACUGUGGGGGACACAGAAAAGAGGAACAAAGCAGGAGAUGACAGAUUCAGAGAAUUGCACAUCUGGAUCUGAUCAAGAAAAAUAUACAACCCCUGGAUUCUUGGCCUUGGAGUUGGAUGCAGCAACC